rnacentral:rRNA from 1 species
UACCCUGGUAGUCCACGCUGUAAACGAUGAGUACUAGGUGUCGGGGGUUACCCCCCUCGGUGAAGCAGCUAACGCAUUAAGUACUCCGCCUGGGAGGUACGCUCGCAAGAGUGAAAGUCAAAGGAAUGGACGGGGACCCGCACAAGUAGCGGAGCAUGGGGAGUAAUUCGAAGCAACGCGAAGAUCCUUACCUAAGCUUGACAUCCCAAUGACAGCUCCUUAACAGGAUAGGACCCUUCGGGGACAGUGGAGACAGGUGGAGCAUGGUUGUCGUCAGCUCGUGUCGUGA